GGGAUUGGUCUGCGGCCUAUCAGGUAGUAGUGGGUGUAGCGUACCUACUAGCCUACAACGGGUACGGGUUGUGAGAGCAAGAGCCCGGAGAUGGAUUCUGAGACACGAAUCCAGGCCCUACGGGGCGCAGCAGGCGCGAAAACUUUACAAUGCGGGAAACCGUGAUAAGGGAACUCCGAGUGUCCGUAAAUGCGGACUGACCGUAUGUUUAAAAAGCAUGCGAAGAAAGGGCCGGGCAAGACCGGUGCCAGCCGCCGCGGUAAUACCGGCGGCUCGAGUGGUGGCCACUAUUACUGGGCUUAAAGCGUUCGUAGCUGGGUUGUUAAGUCUCUUGGGAAAUCUACCGGCUUAACCGAUAGGCGUCCAAGGGAUACUGGCAUUCUAGGGACCGGGAGAGGUGAGGGGUACUUCAGGGGUAGGAGUGAAAUCUUGUAAUCCCUGCGAGACCACCUGUGGCGAAGGCGUCUUACCAGAACGGGUUCGACGGUGAGGGACGAAAGCUGGGGGCACGAACCGGAUUAGAUACCCGGGUAGUCCCAGCCGUAAACGAUGCUCGCUAGGUGUCAGGCAUGGCGCGACCGUGUCUGGUGCCGCAGGGAAGCCGUGAAGCGAGCCACCUGGGAAGUACGGCCGCAAGGCUGAAACUUAAAGGAAUUGGCGGGGGAG
rnacentral:rRNA from 1 species